rnacentral:lncRNA from 1 species
GGGGUGGGAGGAUUAUAACAAAUCCUCCUUGGGGGCCAGUUAUAACAAAAGAGAUGGGAUCAUGUCUCGACGAUUGUUGAAGCUGAGUGACAAAUGUUUAUGUGGCAGACUGACUCUACGGUGUCCCAGUGAUCCCCAUCUCCAGAUUGUAACUUCCAUCUUGCAAGAUUCUCUCCCUUCCUUGCUCUGAAGAAGCAGUCACCAUGAUGGAAGGCCCAUGCUGCUGAGGACAGCCUCUGGGAACUGAGACAACACACAACCAGAAACUGGAGCCCUCCAGCAUACAACCUCAAGGAACUGAAUUCUGCAAACACUCGAGCCUUCAGAUGAGAACAUGAGCCUGUCUGAUGCCCUCACUGAGGACUUACAGAGACCCAGCCAAUUUACAACUGGACUCUUGACCCAUAGAAACUGUGAGAGAGUCAAUGCAUGCUCUUUUACGCCACUAAGUUUGUGGUAAUGCUGUCAUGCAGCAAAUGAAAUUAAUACAGCUUGAUUUUCAUAAUUGGGCAAAACAAUUUCGUAAAGUAGAGUAACUUUUAGCUUCAGUUGUAACAAAAAAAGACACAUUUUCUUAGUCUAAUUAAUAAAGUUGUAAUUUCCCUCUAAAUAAGCUUUACUUUUAUAUUCAAAAUACCACCUGUGGUAAUUUUAUGAUGCCAGUCAUUUUAUAUAAUAUACUUUUCCAUUUUGAAAUACACCAGGUAA